AGAGCACUUUAAGUACAUUAUAGAAGUGUCCUUUUUUCACCUGGGACAACAAUUCAUUUGAGUUUCAUGCUAUUACAAUCUCAAUUCCUGUCAAAAUUCAUAUCGUAAUUCCCCAUUUGUUCACCACCAUCCCCUCUACCAGUUACCUUCAGAUGAAACCUGUGCUCUCUUUCUUCUUCUUAUCUUUACUCUGCUGUAUCAUCCUCCCUUCCCUCAUCCACACAAUUCUCAUCUCUGGAUGUGAAUACAGCAACAGACACUUUAUGUUCCACCUUAACUUCAUCUUUAGAUAGUAUCUGUUCUCUGUCAUCCAGGCCUGCACAUGCUACUCCCUCAAAUUCCUGAUUAUCUGAUGUUCUUCGUGAACACCGGACCAAACUCAGGGCUGCAGAGAGGAAAUGGCACAAAUCAAAAGACCAAUCUGACCUAGAGCAAUCAAUUGGACGUCAGUCAAUCUGGAUUCAAGAGUGGCCACUCAACCGAAAUUGCACUACUGUCGGUCACUGAAUCCUUGCGGAUUGCAAAGGCUGAUUCCAAAUCAUCAGUUCUCAUUCUGCUCGAUCUAUCUGCUGCCUUUGAUACGGUGAAUCAUCAGAUCCUUCUGGUCCACCCUCUCCAUCACUGGGCAUCACAGAUGAUCCCACAGUAGCUGCACAAAUCUCAAGCUGUCUGGCGGACAUCUCAGCAUGGAUGAAAGAACAUCUGCAGCUCAACCUGGCAAAGACCGAGCUUCUCGUCUUCCCUGCCAAUCUGACUCUAAAGCAUGAUUUCAGCAUCCAGCGAGGUACAUCCUCAAUUACCUCAUCAAAAUUGGCCAAAAAUCUUGGAGUAAUCCUUGACCUUCAAAGACCACAUUGCAAAGACAGCUCGGUCAUGCAGAUUUGCACUAUACAACAUCAGGAAAAUCAGGCCCUUUCUGACAGAACAUGCAACACAACUUCUCGUCCAGGCCCUGGUCAUUUCUAGGCUUGAUUACUGCAAUACUCUUCUGGCUGGACUGCCAUCAUGCACAAUCAAACCUCUACAAUUGAUUCAGAAUGCUGCAGCACGUCUCGUCUUUAACAAGCCCAAAAGAGCCCACGUCACGCCUCUCUUCAUCUCUCUGCACUGGCUACCACUUGCUGCUCGCAUCAAAUUCAAGGCAUUGAUGAUUGCUCUACCACAGGCUUAGCACCCUCCUACUUCCACUCACUCUUACGAGUCUACACUCCUACCAGAAGCCUACACUCAUUAAAGGAGCAAAUGCUCAUGGUACCAUCACAGAGAGGCAUGAAAUCACUCUCCAGGACAUUCUCAUUCACUAUUCCUUGCUGUUGGAAUGAUCUUCCUGCCUUCAUCCGGAAUGCAGAAUCCCUGGCAAUAUUCAAAAGACAGCUGAAAACUCAUCUCUUUCGUGAGCACUUAACCUCAUCCUAAAAAAAAAAAAACCUAUACCUAUCCUUUCACUUCCUUUAAUCCCUCUCUCUUUUAUGAUAGCACUGCCUAAAACUUGUAUUGUGAGCACUUCUUGUGUCUAUUUGCCUCGUCAUGAUGACUCACUUGUUGUAUUCCUCACUUGUAAGUCGCUUAGGAUAAAAGCGUCUGCCAAAUAAAUAAAUGUAAAUGUUAAAUGUAAAUGUAAUAAAUCUAUUUAUUUUACUAGCUAAAUUUUUUAUACAUGUGCAAUUUGCAAUUGUUUUUUUUGGGGGGGGGUCUGUAAAGCCCCUUUUUCUUAGAUUUUGUAAAGAUUUGAAGUAUUACUGGGGUGUGACGAGUCACGAGAUCUCGCGAGAUUAAUAUGUGAUAAGAUUUCUCGUCGAGGCGAAAAGUAGGCUGCGUCCAAAAACUGGAAAAUGCUGCCUUCUGAGGAC